AAGCAAGCCAGUCAGCAGCGUUCCUGCAUGAUCUCGGGGUCAGUUCUUGCCUCCAGGUUCCUGUCUUGGUUUCCCUCAACCAUGGACUGUCACUUGGCUCUGUUCUUGAAAAACGUAUGUCUUUGGGGGACAGUGUCGUCUGAUAUAAUGGCAUUUAUCUCACUGUAGAUCAUCGAUCUCACCCCAGCAGCCAGGAACCAGCUUGGAAAUGCUGGCUUUAUAAUUUGGUAGAGCUCCGUAGCCUUCCCAAACCUCAGUCUUCUCAUCUGGGAAAUGGAGGUGGCAAAGCUGGCUGACAGCUGGGAGGAAGUCUGAACAGUGCCAAGCGCAGGGCCUGGUGGCAACAGACGCUGGACAAAAGGAAGAACGGCUUUUCUUCUGUAACUGUUUCCAAGGAUGCUGUCCCCUGGCAAGUCAAGCAGCAAGGAGACUUCUCGGCUCAAAAGAACCAGAAAUAAGAUUAAAUAAUUAUUCUAUGAGACCUACAUAUAUAUAUAUGGAAUCUCCCAAAGAUGGGUUAGGCUGUUCAGCCUGAAAUUGCUAAAUCACCAGCAUCCCCCUCGAAGAGGACAGCCACAGCUUAGCCACCAACUCGACCAGCCAAGAAGGAAAUAAGACAAUUUCCUCAAGACGGUUCCAGAAAGGAUUUUUCCCCCUUUCAAAGAAAGACAAGAUCGUGGUUGAGAAUGGAAAGAUAAGUCUUGGAGAUGACUGGCGAGAUUGACAUCAGAGCAUUUCCAGAGGCCCAGCAGUUCCAACAUGAUGUCCUACCUAACGGCGCAUGUUGGAACUGCCAGCUCAGUCCAUCCUUCUGGCAUUUCCACUCACUGCCCCCCGGAUCAGAUCAGCAUUCUUCCACAGUCAAGAUCCUUCAUUCUCACCCCGCAACAACACACUGGAUCAUAUCAGAACAACACAUGCCACCAAGGACAGCAACAAAACGGCAAAAAGGAGCAAGGGAUGAAUGAAAAAAAUCCAAGCAGGGUGUGCUGUGCCUGCCUGGGAUCCCAGGACAUGAGUAAGAAGUAGGAGUAUCGGGAGCUUAAGGUCUUCCUCAGCUACACUAGCUCCAGGUCAGCCUGGACUACACAAGGCUGUAAAAGACCACACAGAAAGGGAAGGCCAACCCAAAGGCCCAGACUCAAGGCGGGAUACACAGAAGGCAAGAGAAGACAGAGUUAGAAUAUAAAAGCCUCGGUUCAUCACCUUGACCAUUUAAGAUCAUUUGCCUCUGGAAAAUGUUGUUUGUUUUUCUGGGAAAUUGGAUGUGCUGCUGUACAGUGUGUCAGCUUUGCCUUGUAUAGCAAUGCUUGAGGAGAACUAUGGACCAUGCUUAUUUUUGCUCAUGGUUUCAGUCCAAAGCUGGUCAACUCCAUUGCUUUGAGCCUGAAAUGAGGCAAAAUGUCCAUGGUGGCUGGUGCGUGUGGCAGAAGCCAGGAAGCAAAGGAUGAAGAAGGGGCAGGGAGAGAUCUACCUUUCCAUCUGUUAGUUACCUGCCUCUACUGGCUAGGGCCCAGAUCCUAACAGUCCGCUCAGCUGCUGGAUUAACUGAUGAGUUCAUCCACGGACUAACUACAAGGCUCCACCUUUGAACACUGCUGUCUCAAGGGCUCAGCCUUCAAUGGACAGGGAUCCAGAGAACAUUUAUAUCCAAGGCACUUCAUCUUGCACUUGCCGGAAGGAAGUACUGAAACCAUGACAGUAGAGCCCUCUAGGCAGAGCAUGACAGACACAGAGAUGCUGGCGUGAUGAUGACAACUAUCUAGAAAGAUGAUCCCAUGUUCAUAAGGGAGAGAUGCAAUCCCAGCACUGCCAUGGCCGAACAUGCCAGGCAGAUUCUCCUCCACACAACAGGCAUGGGCAGGGUCGUGGUUCAGACAGUCGCUUAGGGUCACAGCUUGAAUUGACUUCAAUUCUACAUAAGCCUCCAGGAUCACAGCAGGGGUAGCAGAUCAGACUCGCGGAAAUUCUGUCCAAAUGUGUCACCUCCCUUCACAUGGGGGACCAGUGGCCAGCAAGACUGCAUAGCCUAGCUGUCAAUCAAGUAUCUGGGGCACGGCUAUGCCUACCCUGUUUUUAUAUCUGAGUCUGUUUCUGCCCUUUCAUAGCCAAGCUGGGUUCUUGCCACAGAGUCCUUCAAGGGAGUCUGAUGAACAUUUCCCCUUGCAGCUCGUGGCCCCUGUCUAUUAUCUUUCUCUUGUUUAAGUACAAGAAGACCCAGGAAGAGCUG